GACGAGGUGCCCGAGAGGUUAAGGGGCUGGACUGCUAUAUUCAUCGUUUCUGCAGAUAUCCAGUAUGCUCUGCAUGCGUGGGUUCGAAUCCCAUCCUCGUCG
rnacentral:tRNA from 1 species